UACGGAGGGUGCAAGCGUUAAUCGGAAUUACUGGGCGUAAAGCGCACGCAGGUGGCUGAGUCAGUCGAUUGUGAAAGCCCUGGGCUCAACCUGGGAAUUGCAGUCGAUACUACUCAGCUAGAGUAUGGGAGAGGGCAGUGGAAUUCCCGGUGUAGCGGUGAAAUGCGUAGAUAUCGGGAGGAACAUCAGUGGCGAAGGCGGCUGCCUGGCCCAAUACUGACGCUCAGGUGCGACAGCGUGGGGAGCAAACAGG
rnacentral:rRNA from 1 species